CCGGCGACCGGCGCACGGGUGAGUAACACGUAUGCAACCUGGCCGUGACAGAUGGAUAACCGGGAGAAAUCCCGCCUAAUACAACAUAAUGCCGGGAGGGGACAUCCCCUGCCGGCCAAAGGGGGCGACCCCGGUCACGGAUGGGCAUGCGGCGCAUUAGGUAGUUGGUGGGGCAACGGCCCACCAAGCCGACGAUGCGUAGGGGUUCUGAGAGGAAGGUCCCCCACAUUGGAACUGAGACACGGACCAGACUCCUACGGAAGGCAGCAG
rnacentral:rRNA from 1 species